rnacentral:lncRNA from 1 species
UUUUUUUUUUUUUUUUUUUGGUUGGUAGGCUGUUAGUUGAUGCUUCAGUUUCAGAACUUGUUGGUCUAUUCAGUGAUUCAAAUUUUUUCUGAUUUAAUCUUGGAAAAGUAUAUGUGUCCAGAAAAUUUUUUAUUUCUUCUUGAUUUUCUUGUUUAUUUGCAUAGAGGUGUUUAUAAUAUUCUCUGAUAGUAGUUCAUAUGUUUGUGGGAUCAGUGGUGACAUCCCCUUUGUCCUUGUUUAUUAUGUCUGUUUGAUUCAUCUCUCUUUUCCUUCUUUAUUAGUUAUGGUAGCAGUCUAUCUAUUUCAUUAAUCUUCACAAAAAAACCAGUUCCUGGAUUCAUUGAUUUUUCGAAUGGCCCCUUCCCCUUGGUAGUCCAUCUCAAAGAGAUCAGAGUAUUACCUAUAAGACCCUGACUGGGGCUGCUGCCUUUCUUUCAGAGAUACCUUGCCCAUUGAGGAGGAAUCUAGAGAGCCAGUCUGGCCACAUCCACUUUGCCAUGCUUCAGUGAGUUCCAUGCCGGCCAAAGUUCCUGGCAGCUUUCUUAACACUGUGAGGAAAUCCCCACUACUCAAGUCUCAGUAAUGGUGGUCGCCACUCUUCCCAUCAAGCUUGAUCAUCCCAGGUUGACUUCAGACUUCUGUGCUGGUAGUAACAAUUUCAAGUAGUGGUUCUGGGCUUGCUGUGCUCCAUGGGAGUGCGACAUGCUGAGUGAGACCACUUGUCUCCCUAGCUUCGGCCUCAUUUCCAGGGUAGUGAAUGAUUCUCUCUCACUGGGGUUCCAGGUGCCACUGUGGUAUAAAAAUAAUCUUUUGAGGUUAGCUCAGCAUCUGCCCAAGCGUCACACAAUUUUGUGUUUGAAAUACAGGGCUGUGGUUGUGUAGGCACACUAGGGAAUUUCCUGUUCCGCAGGUUACAAAAAUGAGAAAACUGCAGUAUCUGGGCUGGGUAGCACAGCCCCAGAUGGCUGUCGUCAGCUAGGAGAAGGAGUUCCUCGUACCUUGCACUUCCUGGGUGAGGUAACACCUCACCCUACUUCUGCUUGCCUUUCAUGGGCUGCACUCACUGUCUAACCAGUCCCAAUGAGAUGAACUGUGUACCUCAGGUGGAAAUGCAGAAAUCACACAUCUUUUGGGUUGGUCUCACUGCAAGCUGCAGAUCAAAGCUGUUCCUAUUCACCUAUCUUGUGAGAUCACUACUGGCUUUUAUUAUUAUUUAAAGUGUGCACUGUUGAAAUUAUCAGAACUUUUACUUGUUAUGUCUAAAAGCAAAAAAGGAAAAGAACAGUGAGGAAUCUUUUAAUAAAUAACUCUCUCCCUUAAAAUGUGAAUCUGAGGCAGUGGAGGGUUUUGUGAAAGGUGAAGUAAAACUUACAGACCAAAAACAUGUGAUUUCAUAUUUUGGCUCACUUUUGAAUAAGCAGGUUUAAGAAGUAAAACCUCUAGAGUUCUAAUAUGUGUCAAGUAUUCAACAUUGCAAAAUAUAUACUGAAAUUGAAAUCAAUGUUUUUUUUCCAAUUCCUGCAGAA